AGGAGCAAGCACAGGCCACUCUUUCAAAGGGCUGGACAGUGCGAGUAGGAGAGGCAGGGUGACAGCUGACGGCGACAACAGGGACAAAGGAAAGGUUUUUAUUUCUUCACAGGAAGAACAACCUCAGCAUUUUUAAGACAGAAGAACUGAGACCAGUGGAAAGAGAGAUCAUGGACGGAUGAGAAAAAGAAGCACAUCACAUAUCCUUCCCAUUUGGAGGAAAGUGCCCACUGGAACCACUCUCAGGCUUCUCCAGCUCGGUCCGGAGAAUGCACGUCCUCAGCAUCACUGUGGCUCACAGAGACGGCGUCUCAGGCCUGAAUGGCAGGACUCAGGCGUUGCCUAUUCUUUCCUUGUAGUCCCUGAGGUCAGUUACCCUCAGGGCUCUCUUACAAAAUGCUUUUUUUUUUCUUUUUUUUAGGAGAGCAAGGU